UACAGAGGUCUCAAGCGUUGUUCGGAUUCAUUGGGCGUAAAGGGUGCGUAGGCGGCGCGGUAAGUCGGGUGUGAAAUCUUGGAGCUUAACUCCGAAACUGCAUUCGAUACUGCCGUGCUUGAGGACUGGAGAGGAGACUGGAAUUUACGGUGUAGCGGUGAAAUGCGUAGAUAUCAAGUGGAACACCAGUGGCGAAGGCGAGUCUCUGGACAUUUCCUGACGCUGAGGCACGAAAGCCAGGGGAGCAAACGGG
rnacentral:rRNA from 1 species